AUUUAUUUAUCCAUGACAGGCUUAAACCAACCAAGGUGCUAUCUCAAAAACACACUCUGCAAAAUAUGGUAAUUAUCAC